GAUGAAGAACGCAGCGAAAUGCGAUAAGUAGUGUGAAUUGCAGAAUUCAGUGAAUCAUCGAAUCUUUGAACGCACAUUGCGCCCCUUGGUAUUCCAUGGGGCAUGCCUGUUCGAGCGUCAUCUACACCCUCAAGCUCUGCUUGGUGUUGGGCGUCUGUCCCGCCUCUGCGCGCGGACUCGCCCCAAAUUCAUUGGCAGCGGUCCUUGCCUCCUCUCGCGCGGCACAAUUGCGUAGUAAGGGGGUGCGGGUCGCGUCCACGAAGCAACAUUACCGUCUUUGACCUCGGAUCAGGUAGGGAUACCCGCUGAACUUAAGCAUAUCAAUAAGCGGAGGA
rnacentral:misc_RNA from 1 species